rnacentral:tRNA from 1 species
ACCCGGGUGGUGGAAUCGGUAGACACGCGGGAUUUAAAUCGCGUUCGCAGCAAUGCGCGUGUGGGUUCAACUCUCAUCCUGGGUA